rnacentral:sRNA from 1 species
UGAUCGUCUAAACAUUUCACGCAACGCGGU